CCUACGGGAGGCUGCAGUGAGGAAUAUUGGUCAAUGGACGAGAGUCUGAACCAGCCAAGUAGCGUGAAGGAUGACUGCCCUAUGGGUUGUAAACUUCUUUUAUAAAGGAAUAAAACGAGGCACGUGUGCCGUUUUGCAUGUACUUUAUGAAUAAGGAUCGGCUAACUCCGUGCCAGCAGCCGCGGUAAUACGGAGGAUCCGAGCGUUAUCCGGAUUUAUUGGGUUUAAAGGGAGCGUAGAUGGGUUGUUAAGUCAGUUGUGAAAGUUUGCGGCUCAACCGUAAAAUUGCAAUUGAUACUGGCAGUCUUGAGUACAGUUGAGGUAAGCGGAAUGCGUGGUGUAGCGGUGAAAUGCUUAGAUAUCACGAAGAACCCCGAUUGCGAAGGCAGCUUACUAAACUGUGACUGACAUUGAUGCUCGAAAGUGUGGGUAUCAAACAGGAUUAGAUACCCGGGUAGUC
rnacentral:rRNA from 1 species